rnacentral:rRNA from 1 species
ACUGGGAUUGCCUUAGUAACGGCGAGUGAAGCGGCAAUAGCUCAAAUUUGAAAGCUGGCCCCCUCGGGGUCCGCGUUGUAAUUUGUAGAGGAUGAUUCGGCGAGGGCUCCCGUCUAAGUCCCCUGGAACGGGGCGUCAUAGAGGGUGAGAAUCCCGUAUGUGAUGGGUUGCCUUAGCCAUGUGAAUCUCCUUCGACGAGUCGAGUUGUUUGGGAAUGCAGCUCUAAAUGGGAGGUAAAUUUCUUCUAAAGCUAAAUACCGGCCAGAGACCGAUAGCGCACAAGUAGAGUGAUCGAAAGAUGAAAAGCACUUUGGAAAGAGAGUUAAAAAGUACGUGAAAUUGUUGAAAGGGAAGCGCUUGCAGCCAGACUUGUCCGCAGUUGCUCAGCCGGUCUCCUGACCGGCGUACUCUUCUGCGGCCAGGCCAGCAUCAGUUCGGGCGGUCGGAUAAAGACCUCGGGAAUGUAGCUCCUCUCGGGGAGUGUUAUAGCCCGGGGUGGAAUGCGGCCAGCCUGGACUGAGGAUCUCGCUUCGGCUAGGAUGCUGGCGUAAUGGCUGUAAGCGGCCCGUCUUGAAACACGGACCAAGGAGUCUAACAUCUAUGCGAGUGUUUGGGUGUCAAACCCAUACGCGUAAUGAAAGUGAACGGAGGUGGGAACCCUCACGGGUGCACCAUCGACCGAUCCUGAUGUCUUCGGAUGGAUUUGAGUAUGAGCAUAGCUGUUGGGACCCGAAAGAUGGUGAACUAUGCCUGAAUAGGGUGAAGCCAGAGGAAACUCUGGUGGAGGCUCGCAGCGGUUUCUGACGUGCAAAUCGAUCGUCAAAUUUGGGUAUAGGGGCGAAAGACUAAUCGAACC